rnacentral:rRNA from 1 species
GAUGAACGCUAGCGGCAGGCUUAAUACAUGCAAGUCGAGGGGCAGCAUGGGUAGCAAUACCUGAUGGCGACCGGCAAACGGGUGCGGAACACGUACGCAACCUUCCCAUAACUGGUGAAUAGCCCUCCGAAAGGAGGAUUAAUACACCGUAACAUAAUGAAGUGGCAUCACUUUAUUAUUAUAGCUCCGGCGGUUUUGGAUGGGCGUGCGCCUGAUUAGGUAGUUGGCGGGGUAACGGCCCACCAAGCCUGCGAUCAGUAACUGGUGUGAGAGCACGGCCAGUCACACGGGCACUGAGACACGGGCCCGACUCCUACGGGAGGCAGCAGUAAGGAAUAUUGGUCAAUGGACGAAAGUCUGAACCAGCCAUGCCGCGUGAAGGAUGAAGGUCCUCUGGAUUGUAAACUUCUUUUAUCUGGGACGAAAAAGGUNAUUCUUGAUCACCUGACGGUACCAGAGGAAUAAGC